rnacentral:rRNA from 1 species
AUUGAACGCUGGCGGCAGGCUUAACACAUGCAAGUCGAGCGGGGAAGUAUAGCUUGCUAUACGACCUAGCGGCGGACGGGUGAGUAAUGCUUAGGAGUCUGCCUAUUAGUGGGGGACAACAUUCCGAAAGGAAUGCUAAUACCGCAUACGCCCUACGGGGGAAAGCAGGGGAUCUUCGGACCUUGCGCUAAUAGAUGAGCCUAAGUCAGAUUAGCUAGUUGGUGGGGUAAAGGCCUACCAAGGCGACGAUCUGUAGCGGGUCUGAGAGGAUGAUCCGCCACCCUGGGAAUGAGACACGGCCCAGACUCCUACGGGAGGCAGCAGUUGGGAAUAUUGGACAAUGGGCGAAAGCCUGAUCCAGCCAUGCCGCGUGUGUGAAGAAGGCCUUGUGGUUGUAAAGCACUUUAAGCGAGGAGGAGGCUACCGAGAUUAAUACCCUUGGAUAGUGGACGUUACUCGCAGAAUAAGCACCAGCUAACUCUGUGCCAGCCGCCGCCGUAACAC